GUAGGAAGGAGACCCAUCAUCCGUUAAAUUGCCAACCAUGAAAUUUCGCAGGAGACGAGGUUCCAAUAUGUGAACCCGGAAGCAAGGAGAAGCUCCCCCACCCGCGGGAAUGUCAGCUCUACAUAGACUGCGCCAGCACAACGAAAGUUCCCUGGUUGCCGGGAGCCAAAACGCGAGAGUGCGAGUAUCCAUUGCUAUUCGAUGAGUGGACACGGUUGUGUCAAGAUUUCAGGACCGUCCACUGUGGUAGUCGCUCGUUGAAGGUUAACGCAUGCGACUAUUAUGGAAACCAAUGCAACGGCCCCAAUUGCCGCCCCUGCGACUUUACGUACCCUUCCUGUGAAGGUCGUCCGGACGGACGCAACGCCAUCGAGUGGAAGUUGAACUCCCCGAUGUACGCCGUUUGCGACAG